rnacentral:tRNA from 1 species
UCUAAUGUGGCAGAUUAGUGCAAUGGAUUUAAAUCCCAUAUAUAAAGUUUAUUCUUUUUUUAGAU